CAUGAAUUGCACUAUUGCUGACUAUGAACCAUAAAUAUUUGAUCACAAACUCCGGCUCAAGCGCAACAUAAUCGUUAACUCAAGUGGAUUUGUUCUGCAGGACAGCCCUUUUGACGGGAAAUUCACCGGAUAUUUUCCAUUUGCCAACGGGGUUAUCAAAAAGCAUAAAGCUAACUGGAUCCUUGGGCCUUUAUGUCUUGUCGCAAGUGAAAGAAACCUUGAAACAAAGAUGACACACAUUUGUCUAUGUGUUACGAAGAUGGAUGAUAAUUGUAAAAUCACCAGCCAUGGUGCCUUGUCAUUCGUGAACGAGGGAAUCGGACGCGAAUCAAGAUUCCGAUUGACAUUUCGUUGAUUCGAGAAAGUAAAUGACGAUGCAAGAUUACUCAGGUGGGCACCACAAAAAUAGUGCAUACCGCUUUG